rnacentral:rRNA from 1 species
UGGGGAAUAUUGCACAAUGGGCGCAAGCCUGAUGCAGCCAUGCCGCGUGUGUGAAGAAGGCCUUCGGGUUGUAAAGCACUUUCAGCGGGGAGGAAGGCGAUAAGGUUAAUAACCUUGGCGAUUGACGUUACCCGCAGAAGAAGCACCGGCUAACUCCGUGCCAGCAGCCGCGGUAAUACGGAGGGUGCAAGCGUUAAUCGGAAUUACUGGGCGUAAAGCGCACGCAGGCGGUCUGUCAAGUCGGAUGUGAAAUCCCCGGGCUCAACCUGGGAACUGCAUUCGAAACUGGCAGGCUAGAGUCUUGUAGAGGGGGGUAGAAUUCCAGGUGUAGCGAUGAAAUGCGUAGAGAUCUGGAGGAAUACCGGUGGCGAAGGCGGCCCCCUGGACAAAGACUGACGCUCAGGUGCGAAAGCGUGGGGAGCAAACAGG